rnacentral:rRNA from 1 species
GAGGAGAGUAUCCUAAGGCCAGCGAGAGAACUGUUGUUAAGGAACUCGGCAAAAUGACCCCGUAACUUAGGGAUAAGGGGUGCCACCAUCCGGUGGCCGCAGAGAAUAGGCCCAAGCGACUGUUUACCAAAAACAUAGGUUUCUGCUAAGUCGCAAGACGAUGUAUAGGAGCUGACGCCUGCCCGGUGCUGGAAGGUUAAGGGGAUCUGUUAGAGCAA